rnacentral:lncRNA from 10 species
CAGAAAGGUCUGACCACUCAUUUACGCGAAUAUGGACAUUGCUUGGAUCUCCGAUCAGAGAAAGAUCCGAAGUUUGCUUUGGGGAAUUAUACGCGUCUUGGGACGAGCAGCAGGGAUGGGGUCGGACAGUUCAGAGCCUUCAUACUGUCCCCCCCACUCAAAGCCCCUGGCUCCAGGUACAGCAGCUCUAGUAGUUCCGGGUGAGCUUAUGGAGCGGCUGCGAGUCAGUUUCUCCACCCACCACCACGCGCCAUCCAGGCCUCCCCGCCUGCCCACUCCCUAUUGGGGGUGGAAAAGAUAAAUAGAAAAGAUGGGUUCUCCCGGCAGAAGUUACGGUCCUGCCGCUAGCCCUCUCUGAGCUCAAAUUCACGUCCCUGGCUGGUGCCCUCUUUCCCUUCCCUCUGUCCCCAGGUCCCAAAGAGUCAGCUCGCCGCUCCGUUGCGCCUCUCACCACUGCGCACCUCACCUCUCUGCGCCUCUGCCCCGACCCUGCCGCGUUCCCAGCCUCGGAGGGACCCCCGAGUUCCUGCUCCAGCGCCCUCUAAUGGCCAAGACCUGGGGAGCGCAGGAGAAAAGCAGGUGGGGAAAAGGCCAUCAAUGGAUGGAUACCCAAGGACACUUCCAUAUGUUCGGUGGGGAGGGCAAGGGGGGCAGAGCGUGGGAAGAUGCACCAAGCCCAGGCACCCGAGGCCCGAGGUGCCAGCCGUAGAGGAGAGAACCCAACGCAAUUCCAUAUGUUCAAGAGGCAGAUCCAGGGAGACACUGUGCAGUAGGAGAGAAAUAUGAGAACCCCAAUCUCAGGAUUCAAGGUCUGGGGAUCACUGAAGGAAAGGCUCUGUAAACUCCUGUUCGUUUCUUCCCUGCACAGCUGCAAGAUCACAAGACAGAGACGCAUAACCUGCAAACCAAGUUUUCCCAGACAUGUAAGACAUGUUGCAAAAGUGUCACAGCAGCCUUUGUUCUCGCUUCUGUAAGCCUGCUUCCUGCUUCACGUAGUGCCCGCCUCAAAGUGCUUAAACUCGUUUUAUUUGUUCUAGGCUCAGACUCUCAGGACACAUGUCCGCUGAGCCGGUGUACACAUUAAAUAAACACUUUCUUGCACUCCGUUCAGUCUCUCCAAUUCCUUAAUUUCCCGCAACAAUUGGGUAGAAAUUACUAGAAAGGAAACAGAUGACAUGGUUCCUGUGUGCCUACAAAAAUUUAAAUUUUAUUAGACCCAUCUCUAAAUCUUUCAGCAAAUCAUCUAAUCUUCUCCCCUUAUUGCUCAGACCUUAUUUAUUCUUGGUUUUUAAUAACAAAAUCACAUAUUUUCAGAUAAAACUUCUCUUUGGAAGACAACAAUAUAACUUGAAAAGCUAUAAGAAGUAAAUGCAAUAAAUAUUUAAAAUUUAACCCCAAAGAUACAUGUGAACCAGCAAAGGAAGAAAAUACAAUGUAGCAAGUGCGAAUGUAAUGUACCUCCCACUGACAACCACGGGCUUCUUUAAUGGCGUGAUGGUUCCUGGUUCACCAACGACCCCAGAUAUUAUACUAGGAAGUCUUCACCAGGACCAAAGGUAGCCCUGAAUCUUUUCACAUUUUUAUUUUCACCAAAAUGAAGACUAUGCAAGGCACAUGCCAAAUAAAGUGUUAAUAUUUCUGUACUCAAAGUUGCAGGAGAGUAGCUAACAUCUUAGAUAAUUAGAUGGGAACUGAGAGUGGCCAUAUAAAAUCAGGAAGUGGACAGAACAAAAACAGGACAAUUUAAUAGGCACAACUCAAGUUUCAACCCAUUGGAACAAGAGAAAACGUCAUGUUUUAGUAUUUACUAACAUUUUAAAAUAUAUUACUACCUCAUGAAAUAAAGUGUUUGGGCUUUUUAUUUGUUUGUGUGUUAUCACAAAAUCAUAGAAUUUGGAAGGGCGCUAGAGCAGAGAUUGCUACUUACUCUCCAAUGACUACUCUUUUUUUUCCUAAAGCAAGAGUUGACAAGUUUUUCUAUUAAGGGCUAGAUAGUAAAUAUUUUCUAAUUUGUGAGCCAGACAGUGUCUAUUACACUAGUCACCUCUGUUGUUGUAGUGUAAUGGACAUGUGUAAACAAAUGGGUGUGAUUGGGUUCCAAUAAAGUUUUAUUUACAAAAACAGGAAGCAGGCUAACUUUGGCCCAAGAUCCCUAUUCUAGAGUAACAGCUUGACUUAUGGCUGCUUGGAAUAGACUACAUUUCCCAGCCUCCCUUGCAACUAGGUGUGGCCAUGUGGCAAGUCCUGGCCAAUGUGAUGUAAGCAAAAGUAGUACAUCCAUGCUCUUCCUCCUUCCUCCUUCCAUUUUGCUACUUGAAAUGCAGACAUAAUAACUGGACUGCCACUUUGGACUAUGAGGACAGGAGUCUGUGAUGGAGAAGAAAUUGGAAGCACUGUGGGUGAUUACAGUCCCUAUACCAGCCCUGAGUUAUGUCCAGAAUUUUAUGUGACAGAGAAAUAAUGAUCUCUUUUGUUCAAGCCUCUGUUCCUUUGAGUCUCUGAUAUUCUCAAAAAGUAUAUAAUCCUAAAUUAACACAAGAGCCCAGAGAUCAUGUAUUUAACUACCUCGUGUUAUAGAUAUAAAAUAAAAGUGAGACUCUGGAAAGAUGAGUGAUUCACCUCGAAUCAUUGGCUAAUUAAUGCCAGAGCAAGGCCUAGACUGUUAUCUGAUUCUAAAUCCAAUGCUUUUUCUAGAUUUAUAUGAGGCUAGUGCUCCCAUAAACAUACACUUAAAUUACAAAUGUUUGUUAUUUUCUUUGUGAGAUCUUUUCAGUCAUUUAAGCCACUUCAUUUUUGAAGGAGCAGGUGCUCAGUUUUAUUCUAAAAAUGAAGAAAAAAAUGUUUUUAUUUAUAGAAACUUACUUCAGGAUCAUUUCUUUCAAAUCCUAUUUAUUUCAGAAAGGAAGAUAUUUUAGACUAAUUUUCCACCUAAAACAGCAGGAAACUCAAAAUUCCUUUCAAAGGGUUUACCCCCUUAUUGUCUUCGAUCCUGAGGUACACACCAAAAAAAUAAGUGCUAUGAUUAAAAGAUGAAAUGUAUUUAUAAGCCAGGCACGAUAGCUUAUGCCUGUAAUCCCAGAACUUUGGGAGGCUGAGGCGGGCAGAUCACCUCAGGUCAGGAGUUGAAGACCAGCCUAGCCAACAUAGCAAAACCUC